GAGAGAGAGCUGCUGGUGUGCUGGGUUUUAUAUCCCUUGGGCCUACGUGGGGCGGGCCCAAGGGAAGGCGGGAGAUGCUUCUUUCUGAUUGGCCCUCCUUUGGCGGGUUCAGACAGUGCCUGGUCAAGGAGGGGAGAAGAACCCGGAACCGGCGCCAUUAAGGGACAACUUAAAGGGGAACAAGAAUGAAUCCCUGCAUCCCCCACAGCUCGUCUGGCUCUGAGGGACUUGGAGAGCCCAAGUUUGUCUUGGACCAGUUUGAUGAGCUACCAGACAGGAGAGACACAUUUGCUGCCUCCCAAUGCUCGGAGACCAUUGCGCAGGAAGCAGCAGGAUGCUGGGGCCGGCUUGCCCAGUGAUGACCUGAACCGGGGGCCACAAGGAACCAAGAGCUGCCGGAAGACAAAAGAGCUCAGAGGGUUGGAGGCCAGGGGAACACUGAGGUGUGGGAGUAGGAAGACAACUCCACCCCACCACCACUAAAUACAGAAACACAUGACCCUUAAGAAGAAUGGGAAAGCUGCCAUUUAGGUUACAGCAUAAAUUCCUUCAUUACUGAG